rnacentral:rRNA from 1 species
UACAGGGGGGGCAAGCGUUGUUCGGAAUUACUGGGCGUAAAGGGCCAGUAGGCGGCCAACUAAGUCACACGUGAAAUCCCCAGGCUUAACCUGGGAACUGCAUCCGAUACUGGAUGGCUUGAAUUCGGGAGAGGGAUGCAGAAUUCCAGGUGUAGCGGUGAAAUGCGUAGAGAUCGGGGAGGAAGGCCGGUGGCGAAGGCGGCGCUCUGGAACAUUUCUGACGCUGAGGCUCGAAAGCGUGGGGAGCAAACAGG